UGGUUGGCAUUUAUUUGUAUACAUGACAAAAACAUACAUAUUAACUAGAAUAUAGGAACAUAAAUAAAUAUCAAACAAACACACCAAAACAGAAACAAUGCACAUUAAUCCUAAGGUUUUAGAUCUUUAUCCAUUUUACAUUCACUUCGUGAUGCUAAAUAAAGGAAAUGGUAUUUAGAAAUAUAUCUCAGUGGCUUUAUAGUUGACGAUGAUGGAAGGAAAAGGAGUAUGUAUAGAAAAAUCACAAUGAUAAUAAAUAUCACACUCAUUACCAAAAACACGUUGCCC
rnacentral:lncRNA from 1 species